ACUAUUGAAAGUAACAAAAAUCUAAAAAAAAAGAUAAAAAUUUUAGAAGUUAAGAAUACAAAAAUCACAAAAUAGUAUAAAUCAUUAAGCUCAUACAAAAAUACAUAAUAAUUAUGUAAAAUAUUCAAAUAGAUGUAGUUAUUUAUCUGAGGACGGAUAAACCUAUGCAACAAGGAUGCAAUCAGGUCAAGCUGAGCCAUCAAAGAUUAUAUCUCUGUCUGAUGGCUUUGCCUCAUCUCCUCCAUCCCUGUUUUUAGAUUACGAACCUCUGCAGUGCUAUUACUGCCUGGCAUUCUGGGUAUAUCUGCUCACUACAGACAACUUAAUGGAGGUAACUCUAACACCAUAACUCCUCACUCGACCAUAACGCUCCAGUCCCAUCAAUUUGGCAAACAUUUGAGUUUUAACACGACUGGUCUGACCAGAUGAUGAUGACUCUUUGACAUGCUCUGCAAUAAGGGAUGAGCCAUGUCCUAUAUUUAAGAAAAAAGUCACAU
rnacentral:lncRNA from 1 species